GUCGAGAACCAACCGAAAAUAAUCAUUACUGGUGCGCAGUUGUUGUUUCCAUAGACGUGUCAAUUGUUUGUCUAAUUGCGCCAGCAGCAGCAAAACGACGCCAAAACACACAUGCGCAUUCCAGCGCACAAAUAUCCCACCCACGGAAAUCGCAAUACCAUCGCCCCAGCAACGCGGAGGAGGGGGUGGACUCCACUUUUCCAGGGAGAAAGCGAACGUACGCAUACGAGAAUCCGAAUCUGAGAAUCCCCAAUCCCCGAGUCCAAGAGAGCGAAGACGACACUCCAGCUCGGUAUUUGAGCCAUCGACAUUCCGCUGCUCCGUCAGUUUUCAGAGGACCUUCGAAGUGGGCAGCCGAAAAUCCAAAAGUCUCCUGGCAGCGAACGGAAAACCAAAGAGAAAAAAAAAUAAGAAAAGCUAAAUCCAGUUGGCAGAGAAAAGCUCAAGUGGUAAUUGGCUGCGACUCAAAUUACUUUAGUUGUGCAAAUAGCGAAUAGCUAUAAACCCAAAAGAAAAGAAACUCGAGCGUGGCGUGUGUCCAUGUGGAAAAUCGAUCGAAUCGCAGAGUAUUUAUCGUGUAAUUGUGCCCAAUAGCCACGCAAUUCCCAGUCCGUUUUAUUGAUUUUCCCCACCGCCUCGCCAAGUAGCAAUAAAAAGCAUUCUUUUCCCUUCCAUCUCGACCAUCUGGCCAACGCAAUUGCAGCGUGCAAAAUUCAAAUUUCAAGUUAAAUGCGAGAAUUUACAUAACGCCGAGCGUUGAAAGUGAAACUUCUGUGGUGCGAACGAAACACUGAAAGAAAGGAAAACCCAUUACAGGACAUUCUAUCUGCCUCUGCCCAGUGUAGUAAAAGUUGGAGCGCCAGGAGCGGGAGAGCAGUGGAAAACCGUGAGAACCGCGAGAGCAAGAGAGCCUAGAGAGCGUUGAACGUGCGCACGUCUUCCUGGUCAGGACACACCACCAAUCCUUGAGAGAAACAGCAGGAGCCAACAUGUUUUCGGGCCUAACAAAUCAAUUCACCUCGCUGGUGGGCGCCGUUAAAGGAGGCGCUGGCGACGAGGAUGUGCCCGCGCCCACUGGAGAUGCGCCCGCAGCCGCUCCAGCAGCAUCCACAUCCGUGGAGGCCACGGCCUCCUCCGCCGUGGACCCGGAGGCAGCUGCCGCCGCCGGUGGCGAAGGACUCGAGGGCGAGGAAGCUGGCAAAAGCGGUUGGCUGGGCAGUGCCAAGGGUUGGCUGGGAAACGCCUCGAUACCGUCGAUGCCAGCCAUGCCGUCGAUGCCAUCGAUGCCGGCCAUGCCAGCGAUGCCAUCGAUACCAUCGAUCCCGGGACUCCGCAAGGGCGCAGGAGCCGAUGGAGCCGAGGGCGCCGAGGGAGCUGUUGCCGGAGAGGGCGGAGCCGCCGCCAGUGGAGCCGUGAGUGGUGGCGAGGAUGAUGACAAGUCGAGGUAUAUUAGCGCCACGGAGGGCGCCGACUCGCAUCCUGCAUCGGGCGGUGGCACGCCCACCGGCGACGAGGGUCAAAUCGGACAGGUUACCACAAAAGUAACACAGCAGGCCAAACACUUUGGGUCCUUCUUGUCAUCGGCCAUCAGCAAGGCUGGCAGCAAAAUCAAGGAAACUGUCAAGGAUAAUACCAUUCUCGACUCGUUCAACAAGGAGCAGGAAGCCUUCAUCAAGGGCCAGGGCGGCGUGGGCAAUGGAGCAGCCCCCUGGAUCGGACACGCCAACGAGGCCAAGAUCAAGGAGGAAAUCCUUGGCCUGUCGCAGGAUCGCCGCAACUUCGUGCGCGCCCCGCCCGCCGGCGUGGACUUUGAGUUUAGCUACGACACCGCCUAUCCCACGGCCAUAGCCAUUAUGGCCGAAGACAAGGCGCUCGAGACGAUGCGAUUCGAGCUGGUGCCCAAGAUCAUCACUGAAGAGAACUUCUGGCGGAAUUACUUCUACCGCGUCUCACUGAUCAUCCAGGCCGCCGAGUUGGGCACUCUGGGUGCCGAUGGCGUGGGUCAGGCCUCAAGCGGCGAAGAUGCUCUGGCAUUUAAUUACUAAAGCGAAUCUAUCAAUUGAAAGUAAUAUUAAACCAAUAACGAAAUCACACAAUAAAUAAAUAUAGAAGUAAAGCAACUAAUGGAUAACAAGAGUAUUAUAAAUUAUAUAAACACAUAUAAAUAUAUAUCCUGAAUAAAAUCGAACUCGACAAAAACUCUCAUUUGCCAUUUAGCGAACUGCAAAAUAAUAUCAAAUAUAUAUAUAUAUGUAUGUAUCAUAUGACAUAUAAUUUGAUUUCGAUUAUUUCGAUUAAAUUUCGAACAAAGGAACAAUGGGAAAAGGAUCUGGAAGCUGAACUCAAGGACUACGAGGUGGUUGACGAAGGCGGCACUGGCGGCGGAGGACGCAGAAAGGG
rnacentral:misc_RNA from 1 species